rnacentral:rRNA from 1 species
GACGAACGCUGGCGGCGUGCUUAACACAUGCAAGUCGAACGGAAAGGCCUCUUUCGGGGGGUACUCGAGUGGCGAACGGGUGAGUAACACGUGAGUAACCUGCCCUUGACUUUGGGAUAACUUCAGGAAACUGGGGCUAAUACCGGAUAGGAGCUCCUGCUUCAUGGUGGGGGUUGGAAAGUUUCGGCGGUUGGGGAUGGACUCGCGGCUUAUCAGCUUGUUGGUGGGGUAGUGGCUUACCAAGGCUUUGACGGGUAGCCGGCCGGAGAGGGUGACCGGCCACAUUGGGACUGAGAUACGGCCCAGACUCCUACGGGAGGCAGCAGUGGGGAAUAUUGCACAAUGGGUGGAAGCCUGAUGCAGCAACGCCGUGUGCGGGAGGACGGCCUUCGGGUUGUAAACCGCUUUCGCUCAUGACGAAGCUUUGUGUGACGGUAGUGGGUAAAGAAGCACCGGCUAACUACGUG